rnacentral:tRNA from 1 species
GUUUUGCUAGUAUAAAGAGUAUAUUUGCCUUCCAAGCAAAGGGUUUGUGGCGCACAGGCAGGAUA